rnacentral:rRNA from 1 species
CCUACGGGUGACAGCAGUGAGGAAUAUUGGUCAAUGGGCGUAAGCCUGAACCAGCCAAGUCGCGUGAGGGAUGAAGGUUCUAUGGAUCGUAAACCUCUUUUAUAAGGGAAUAAAGUGUGGGACGUGUCCGAUUUUGUAUGUACCUUAUGAAUAAGGAUCGGCUAACUCCGUGCCAGCAGCCGCGGUAAUACGGAGGAUCCGAGCGUUAUCCGGAUUUAUUGGGUUUAAAGGGUGCGUAGGCGGCCUUUUAAGUCAGUGGUGAAAGUCUGUGGCUCAACCCUAGAAUUUCCGUUGAAACUGGGGGGCUUGUGUAUGUUUGCGGCAGGCGGAAUGCGUGGUGUAGCGGUUAACUGCUUAGAUAUCACGCAGAACCCCGAUUGCGAAGGCAGCCUGCCAAGCCAUGCCUGACGCUGAUGCACGAAAGCGUGGGGAUCAAACAGGAUUAGAUACCCUAGUAGUC